AGUGAACGCUGGCGGUAGGCCUAACACAUGCAAGUCGAAUGGCAGCACAGUAAGAGCUUGCUCUUACGGGUGGCGAGUGGCGGACGGGUGAGGAAUACAUCGGAAUCUACUUUUUCGUGGGGGAUAACGUAGGGAAACUUACGCUAAUACCGCAUACGACCUACGGGUGAAAGCAGGGGAUCUUCGGACCUUGCGCGAUUGAAUGAGCCGAUGUCGGAUUAGCUAGUUGGCGGGGUAAAGGCCCACCAAGGCGACGAUCCGUAGCUGGUCUGAGAGGAUGAUCAGCCACACUGGAACUGAGACACGGUCCAGACUCCUACGGGAGGCAGCAGUGGGGAAUAUUGGACAAUGGGCGCAAGCCUGAUCCAGCCAUACCGCGUGGGUGAAGAGGGCCUUCGGGUUGUAAAGCCCUUUUGUUGGGAAAGAAAAGCAGCAGGUUAAUACCCCGCUGUUCUGACGGUACCCAAAGAAUAAGCACCGGCUAACUUCGUG
rnacentral:rRNA from 1 species